rnacentral:lncRNA from 1 species
GGGAAACACUUCAAAUUUCAAGUAAAGCAUGGAUACAGCAUAAAUCUGAGCCAACAAUAGUGAAAGAACCUAGAAUAGCCAUGGAUUGCAGAGAAAACCCUGGAAAUGAGAAAGGUCUUGAGGAAAAUCCGAUCAUGAGUCGAAAAGACUCAUAUUGCUCGAAUAUGCCGGAGUAAUGGCCAGAGAAGCCAUAGAUCUACAGAUCUAAAAUGAUCAAAAAGGGAACCAUCAAGGUCAAGGCCUUGAUCCUUCAAAUAUCAAGCACACAGGGGUAAUACAGGGUGAGUAUGAGGUUAUCAUGACUGGAGUAACCAUGAUUUCCGGUGAGCUCGAGGUAGGAAAUGAUGAGAUAGGCUAGGGUUUCGAGAGGGUUAGAGAGAAUUUGAGA